rnacentral:misc_RNA from 1 species
UUCAUUUAUUCUUCAAAGACUCCGACGUAUAGAGACAGGGUUGGAUGGUCCACCGGGGGCGGCGGAAGCCGCUCUGCCCCCGAGGCAAAGGUGGUUUGGUCAACAAAGGGUUGGGGACGGGGGCCCUGGGGGCCCGCCAUCUCUGGUAAUGAUCCCUCCGCAGGUUCACCUACGGAGA